rnacentral:rRNA from 1 species
UACGUAGGUGGCAAGCGUUGUCCGGAUUUACUGGGCGUAAAGAGCGCGCAGGCGGUCGUUCAAGUCGCGUGUGAAAGCCCCCGGCUCAACUGGGGAGGGUCACGCGAUACUGAUCGACUCGAAGGCAGGAGAGGGUAGUGGAAUUCCCGGUGUAGUGGUGAAAUGCGUAGAUAUCGGGAGGAACACCAGUGGCGAAGGCGGCGACCUGGGUCGAUACUGACGCUGAGGUGCGAAAGCGUGGGGAGCAAACAGG